rnacentral:rRNA from 1 species
CCCUUAGAUGUUCUGGGCCGCACCCGCGCUACACUGAAGGAGGCAGCGUGUACUCCUGGAUCGAAAGAUUUGGGUAACCCGCGAAUCUCCUUCGUGCUAGGGAUUGAGGUUUGCAAUUAUCCUUCAUGAACGAGGAAUUCCCAGUAAGUGCAAGUCAUAAGCUUGCGCUGACUACGUCCCUGCCCUUUGUACACACCGCCCGUCGCUACUACCGAUUGAAUGAUUUAGUGAGGACUUCGGACUGGGACCGAUGCGGCUUUCGGGCUGCGUCGGUAUUCUGGAAAGAUGUCCAAACUGUAUCAUUUAGAGGAAGUAAAAGUCGUAACA